AACUUCUAGCUCCUCCUUUCCUUUUCAGCUUACUUAAGUAUUAAGCUUUCUUCUUCUUUUUUCUCUCUUUGAGUUGUAUUUCUUGAUUGAUUGUAGUUUCGUCCACAUGGUGGAUUAUGGCUAGAUAUUAUUUGCAACUAUAUUGGCUAAAAAAAAGAUUGAAUUUUCUAGUUGGGGUUUCGAUUUUUAGUUCUUGAAUUGCUUGCAAUUCUCAGUUGCUUCAUUCAAAGGAGUAUGGCUUUCAGGGCAGUUCAUUCGUGGACCUUGGCUGAUCUUAUCUUUGCCUUUCUUGACCUUGUCAUUGCUUAUGUCCUGCUUUGUGGAUCCGCUUAUGCAUUUCUUUUAUCAAAAUUCUUGAGUGCUGUUGGGUUUUAUCUGCCAUGUCCAUGUACAGGCCUUUUUGGGUAUCAAAAUAACGAUUUGUGUUUGCAUAAACUGUUAAUUGAUUGGCCGAAAAGAAAAAUCUAUUAUGUACAAGCGCUGGUGAAGAGUAGGUUCCCUUUUGAUUUGAUUUGGUUUGUGGAUCAAUCAAGUGAUUUGCAUGUGGAGGGUGUUAGAGAUAAGAAACGGGAAAAUGGGGUGAUUGAAUUGAAGGGAGACGGGUGCUCCACUUCCCUUUCAGGUCCAAGAUUUUCGAGUUGUGUUGGUGGAGAAAGUGGAUAUGAUGCUAAGGAGAAGAAAGUUACGAACCAAAAGCACAAGUCUGGGAUCCGGAGGCGCAGGAGAGCUACUAUUGGAUAUGGUAGAUUCCUUUCCGCUUUGUCUGCAAAUAGCACACGCUCAAUUGGUCUAGCUGCUCCUCACUCUAGUCAUGAUAGCGGCGGUGAAAUGGGAUGUCAAAUCAGUGGAAACUUGGGUCCUGCAAGUGGAACUGAAGAUGGUCUUCUGGGUGAGGGACAUGGUCCAAUUGUUAUUGAUCAUUGUAAAAGAGUUCAUAGUAGUUUUGAGUUGAAUGGGUUGUAUGACAAGGGUAAAGGCAUCAGAAGCGACCCAUCAUUUGUUAAAAACAUGGCAUGUAAUGCUGAAGAUGUAUUGGACAGUGUUAGAAAUGAUGUGAUCAAAAUGUUGGAACAAUCACUUGAAGAAGAGAAAACUGCACAAGCUGCUCUUUACCAAGAGUUGGAGAAAGAGAGGGCUGCUGCUGCUAGUGCAGCUGAUGAGGCGAUGGCCAUGAUCAUGAGGUUGCAAGAGGAUAAGGCAUCAAUAGAAAUGGAAACGAGGCAGUAUCAGAGGAUGAUAGAAGAAAAGUUUGCUUAUGAUGACGAAGAGAUGGAUAUUCUGAAAGAGAUCCUUGUUCGGAAGGAGCUGGAGAAUCAUUAUCUAGAGAAGAAACUCGAAGCUUAUCAGUUAAUGAACAUUUCAGGAAAAGAGCAGCUGGAAGAAGACUCAAGAAAUCAGAUGAACAGUACUGGAAAAAGGCCUCCACUUUCAUUUGAUUCCGAUGAGAAUCUAUCCCUGCUGCCGGAGCAGAUGGUGAAGGGUAAAACCAUUUUCCAGAAGGAAGUGAAAACAAACGCAACUUGUUCAUCAAAUAAUGAAGAAAGCCAUACUCUUGCUUUGGGGAAGGAAAUGAUGCCAGAGUGUAAGGAGUCAGCUUCUGAUUCAUCUACUUCAGAAGGGGUGCAGCAGAAAACUGUUUGCGUAGCAGGGAAAGAAAAAACUCAAAGAUAUGCUAGCGUGGUAUCCCAAACUUGUGGAGGCAUGGAAGAGGAGAUGGGAAAAGACAGAAAUCAUUUGAAUCAAGAAGGAAGCUGUAUGCAUAGUCCCAUGCUUGACACUGAAUUGACUGUUUAUGAUGUUCAUGUCGUUGAUGAUGAAACAACAGUUUGGAAGGAGGGUGGUGGAAAAGAAAGUGGACCAUUAAGUAGUGCUCCUUCAAAUUUUGAGGUUUGGACCACUAGUGAACUGAGUGAUUGUCCAAGAACAAGCAUGACAGAAAUUGAGCCUGAUGGUCGUGGAAGCCAUUUGGAUACCACUAGCGGUUCACCAGGGUUGGGCGAUUCACAGUGCAAAACCUUGGAUAUUGACUCACAGCGGAGUUCUUCAUCGGCAGUCAGUAGUGAAAGGUUUAAAAUUGACUCUGAAGUUGAAUGGCUUAGAGAAAGGCUACGAACAGUGCAAGAGAAAAAGGAUAAAUUGACUUUCCCUGCAGAGCACAAUGAGAGGGUCAAUGCACAAUUGAAACUUGUGGAGGAGAUAAUAAGCCAGCUUCGAGAAACUUAUCAGCUGAGAGAGCCAGUGCGGCAGGCUUCUUUACCCCCUUUAUCUUCUAAGUUGAAUAGCAGCACAUAGGUUAUUUUGUCUGCUUGAGCUAGGUUGUGUUUUCGAUUUGAUCUCAGUUUCUGGAGGUUGACACUUGAGGUGAGCUUGAAAAAAAGGAGUUGCAGAAGUGUGUCGUCGGAGGCCUUUGAAAGUGCCUGAAUCAUGUAUCAUAUAUACCAGAACCAGGAAUCUGCACACGUGAUUUAGGGUUUUCUCCUGUACCAUGUUGGUAGUAUUCUGAGAACUGUAAAUUUCAUUAGCUUUCUAAAUCAUCAGUACAUAGAGUUUGCUGUUGUAAAGUAUAAUGUUGAUCUGGUUGACGAAUUUUGAAGUGAAUCAAAAUUUCUCCAGUUUGUAUUUUUUUCCAACAGAUUUCUCCAAUAUAUCUUUGAAUUUAAAAGUGGUUGUAAUA